CAGUGUUGAGGUCGUGAAGAGAGCUUCCGAUGAACGAAUUAGCAGUGGGAGGGGAUCUCAAGUCAUAGUGCUGUACUGGAACCCUACUCCCCAUUUCUUCUGCCGACAUCAAUGAUGCUACUACUCUCACAAAUCUCUGGUGUCUCUCAACCUCGUCGCCGCCGCCGCCGACUUCUUCUCCCAGCAAGCCUGUGAGUAGGAGAGGUAGAAUAAGAAGUGGAGUGAAGAGGGAUGAGAGUUCCUUCGUCAGUGGCCAUGGAAAAUUACGGGAGAAAUGAUGGCAGGAUGAGAGGAAGGGUGAUGAAUUUUGAAUUGAAUUGGAUUGGUGAAGUGGGGAAAAAAGGAGGGAGUGGAAUUCCAAACCUGAGAUUUGUGAAGCCGUAGCUGAGCUUUCGGAGCUGCAGAAAAACUAGUCAAGACAAUCUCCGACCCUCGCUCCGAUCUUAACACCUACCGCUCUCCAAACCGAGCCUCAAUUUCUUCUCCUGAUAUAUUUUAAAAAAUAUUGUUUUACUG
rnacentral:lncRNA from 1 species